ensembl:lncRNA
AUUUUUUAAUCAUGUCAAAUGUAACCCUGCAACAGUCUCAGGAGUCAUUUUUAGGACUUUCGCUUCAUUUUCCUGCCUUAUAUUAGUACUUAUAUACAGACUUUGAAUACAUCCUCCCCCUCAGAUAGGCAGUGGUGGUAUUUAUGGAGUAUCUGUCAUCAUGUGAAGCCUUUCUCUGGUUGUGGAAUGCAGUUUUUAGUGCAGACCUCAGACAGGUGCCACUGCAGGCAACAUGUCUGAACAGAGACUCAGUCAAACUCAUGGAAAACUUCACAUCGGUCAGAGUGUAUUUGCUUUUAUAGCUCCAUAAUCAUAAAUCUCGAUCCUAAUAUGUGACUUUUGAGAAAACUAUCUCACCACAAGUUCCUUUCAGUGGCUGUUCUCAGAGGUGGAUUUGGUCAUUUCAAGGUCGACAUCCAUGUUUCAUAAGUUUACUGCUCAUAAAUAUGUAGUCUUUCAGCUUAGCCAUCAUCAGCUGCCACAGAGGUGCUUACAGAUUAGAUAAAGUUAGUUUAACAGCUUCAUGGAGCCGGAGGGGAAGUUUUUUGAGGGCUCAACCUCAUAAAUUUAUUAGAAAUGUGGUUCUGGGUCCUUCAGGCAGCAGUGAAAAUGAAGUGAUGGCAAGAUGGGACAGGAGGAAUCCUGCUCUAAUAAAGGGACACACUUUCAAAAUAAAGGCAUAUUUAAAAAUCAAAGUCAGAGACUGAUUUAGCUGCAAAUAGACAAAUCACUCAUUCAGCAAGUGUUUCACGUCUGUCUCCACAUCCCACUGGAAAUACAACGGACUUCACUAGUCACUAGCAUCACCAGGCUAGUCAUUAGUAAUCCUAUACUAGUUACUAGCAUCCCUAGGUUUUCCAACUAGCAUUCCAAAACUAGUCAGUAGCAUCUCUUAGUCAAUCACUAGCAUCCUUGGGCUAACAACUAGCAUUCCUAUCCUAGAUACUAGCGUCUUUGGACUAUCAACUAGCAUUCAAAUGCUUUCCAUUAGCAUAUCUAGGCUAGUUACUAGUUUUGGCUCUAAACUAGUAUCUGUCAGAUUGUGACUAGCAUUCUGAGGCAAGUCACUAGCAUCUUUUGACCUGUAACUAGCAUGUUUUAACUAGCAACUAUCAUUCUGUGGCUUGUUACUAGCAUUACACACGUUACUAGAAUUUUUAGACAAAGAACUAGCAUUCCUAGGCUAGUAACUAGCAUGCUUAUCACUAGUGUCUGAUAGCUAGAAGCUAGCAUCUUAAGGACAGUGACUAGCAUCCCAAGGCUAGCAACUAGUAUAAAUGUCUGAUAAAUUGUAAUAAUAUUCUCCUGCACAGUAUUGUUUUUAUGUAUUAACAAAACAUUGUAGUCCUGCAUUGCCACCUUGUGUUCUGUUCCGCUUUUAUUUUGUGGAGCGCGUUUCUUCUUCUUCUGAUGUUUUUUGCGAUGCCGAACUUCCUGUUUCUUUGUCUUCACACGUUGUGCUCAUUCAUCGUCGGAGGAACGGUAAAACCUGUCUAAACACACUAGUUAUACCUUAUAUUUAUCUGUUUGAAUUGUAUGAGGAAAGAGUUUAUGUUGUGAUUUACCUCAUUAUUUUGUGUUCGUAGCUGUGAACAACGACGUGUGAAUGUAUCGAGCUGGAGAGCAUGCUAGCUGAUGGCUAACACUCUGAAAUUAGCGCCCUUGGAGAGCGGAAUGAGUUUUAAACUCUCUGGGUCUUGAUCAGUGAGUCUAAAG